rnacentral:rRNA from 1 species
AAUUUAAGGUCUAACCUGCCCACUGAAACAUUAAAGGGCCGCAGUAUUUUGACUGUGCAAAGGUAGCAUAAUCAUUUGUCUUUUAAUUAAGGACUAGAAUGAAUGGUUGGAUGAAAUAUUAACUGUCUCAUUUUUAAAAAAAUAAAAAUUUAUUUUUUUAGUUAAAAAACUAAAAUAAAUUUAAAAGACGAGAAGACCCUAUAGAUCUUGAUAAUUAAUAUUUAUAUAAAAAUUAGUUUUAAAUAUAUUAUAUAAUUUAUUAUUAUUUUGUUGGGGUGACAAAAAAAUUUAAUUAACUUUUUUUAAAAAAUAAACCAAUAAUAUUUGAAUAUUUGAUCCAGUAAUAUUGAUAAUAAAAUUAAGUUACCUUAGGGAUAACAGCGUAAUUUUUUUAGAGAGUUCUUAUCGAAAAAAAAGAUUGCGACC